GAGGUGGAAUUUUACUAAUUUAGCCCUCCACCAACUCCCUUGUACCGGUACACGGGAUCCUGUACCGGUACAAGAGCCAACCCGAGAGCAGUUGAGCUGUUUCGCGCUGGUUGUACCGGUACAGCCACCAAGCUUGUACCGGUACAGCAAGCAGAAAAAAAAACUGCUGUUUGCAGAAUUCUUCGCGAUAAGCUGCCCUCGCGUCGCACGGAGUCCGUUUUACGUCUAUUUGACGUCAACGCGACUCAGACUUGUCCCGACACUCUCCAGAGCUGUCGACAAGCCUACACAGUCAAACACCAGGGAUCUCACAAAAACAAAAGAUGAAAAUCACCAAAAUAUGC
rnacentral:lncRNA from 1 species